rnacentral:rRNA from 1 species
ACCCGCUGAACUUAAGCAUAUCAAUAAGCGGAGGAAAAGAAACCAACAGGGAUUGCCUCAGUAACGGCGAGUGAAGCGGCAACAGCUCAAAUUUGAAAUCUGGCCUCUGGGCCCGAGUUGUAGUUUGUAGAGGAUGCUUCAGGCAUGGCCCGGUCCAAGUGCCUUGGAAUAGGGCGCCAGAGAGGGUGAGAGUCCCGUACGUGACCAGGUGCCUUUGCCUGUGUGAAGCUCCUUCGACGAGUCGAGUUGUUUGAGACUGCAGCUCAAAAUGGGUGGUAAAUUUCAUCUAAAGCUAAAUAUUGGCCAGAGACCGAUAGCGCACAAGUAGAGUGAUCGAAAGAUGAAAAGCACUUUGGAAAGAGAGUCAAACAGCACGUGAAAUUGUUGAGAGGGAAGCGCUUGCAGCCAGACCUUGCAUGCCGUCAAUCAUCCGCUGUUCUCACCGGUGCACUUGGCGGCGUUCAGGCCAGCAUUGGCCCUGGCGGCUGGACAAAGACCGCGGGAAUGUAGCUCCCCCUGGGGAGUGUUAUAGCCUGUGGUGUAAUACGGCCAGCCGGGACCAAGGACCGCGCUCCUGCUAGGAUGCUGGCGUAAUGGUUGUAAGCGACCCGUCUUGAAACACGG